CGCCUGUUUAACAAAAACAUGUCUUUAUUGAUAAUAAUUUAAAGUCUAACCUGCCCACUGAUGUAUUAUUAAAGGGCCGCGGUAUUUUGACCGUGCAAAGGUAGCAUAAUCAUUAGUUUUUUAAUUGGAAACUUGUAUGAAUGGUUGGACAAGGUAUCUACUGUCUCAUAUUUAUAUUUUGAAUUUUACUUUUUAGUGAAAAGGCUAAAAUAUUUUUGGAGGACGAGAAGACCCUAUAGAUCUUUAUAUUUAAUUUUAAUAUUAAUUUUGGUAUAUAUUAUUUAUAUUAAUUAUUAUUAUUUAGUUGGGGUGACUGGAAGAUUAAAUUAACUCUUCAUAUUUUAUAUACAAUAAUUAUUGAAUUAUUGAUCCAUUUUUAGUGAUUAUAAGAAUAAGUUACCUUAGGGAUAACAGCGUUAUCUUUUUUGAGAGUUGAUAUCUACAAAAAGGAUUGCGACCUCGAUGUUGGAUUAAA
rnacentral:rRNA from 1 species